GAAAGUUGGGGGCUCGAAGACGAUCAGAUACCAUCCUAGUCUCAACCAUAAACGAUGCCGACCAAGGAUCAGCGGAUGUUGCUUUUAGAACUCCGCUGGCACCUUAUGAGAAAUCAAAGUUUUUGGGU
rnacentral:rRNA from 1 species